rnacentral:rRNA from 1 species
AGCGAACGCUGGCGGCAGGCUUAACACAUGCAAGUCGAGCGCCCCGCAAGGGGAGCGGCAGACGGGAGAGUAACACGUGGGAACGUACCCUUUAGUUCGGAACAACCCAGGGAAACUUGGGCUAAUACCGGAUACGUCCGUAAGGAGAAAGAUUUAUCGCGAAAGGAUCGGCCCGCGUCCGAUUAGCUAGUUGGUGAGGUAACGGCUCACCAAGGCGACGAUCAGUAGCUGAUCUGAGAGGAUGAUCAGCCUCACUGGGACUGAGACACGGCCCAGACGCCUACGGGAGGCAGCAGUGGGGAAUAUUGGACAAUGGGCGCAAGCCUGAUCCAGCCAUGCCGCGUGGGUGAUGAAGGCCCUAGGGUUGUAAAGCCCUUUCGGCGGGGAAGAUAAUGACGGUACCCGCAGAAGAAGCCCCGGCUAACUUCGUGCCAGCCGCCGCCGUAA